AAAUAAUAACUGUACACUGGGAUUGGUCAUGGAAGAUUUCAUGAAGGAGGUGGAACUGUUAGUCACUGAAGGCUGAGAAGGAUUCAAGUAUAAGAGAAAGAAGGAAAGAUAUUCAAGUCUUUUUCAAGACCACUCUUUAAAGAACAAGAGAAAGAAACAACAACGAUAACAAAAACAGCUGAACGACCAACCAUCCUGGAAGUCGUGUAUUUAAAACAUUCUUCUUUUGGCCAUAAUGAGCACACAUGCAAGUGCCCGGAAUAAAAAUGAGAUGCAGGUU